UACGAAGGGUGCAAGCGUUGUUCGGAUUUACUGGGCGUAAAGCGCGCGCAGGCGGGUGGACAAGUCGGAAGUGAAAUCCCAGGGCUCAACCCUGGGGCUGCUCCCGAAACUGUUCGCCUAGGGACUGGUAGAGGCUGGUAGAAUUCCCGGUGUAGCGGUGGAAUGCGUAGAGAUCGGGAAGAAUACCUGUGGCGAAGGCGGCCAGCUGGGCCAGGUCCGACGCUGAGGCGCGAAAGCGUGGGGAGCAAACAGG
rnacentral:rRNA from 1 species